UCCUCGAUAGCUCAAUGGUAGAGCACUCGGCUGUUAACCGCAGUGUCGUUGGUUCGAGUCCAACAGGGGGAG
rnacentral:tRNA from 1 species